CUACGGGUUGCUGCAGUGGGGAAUAUUGGACAAUGGGCGAAAGCCUGAUCCAGCCAUGCCGCGUGGGUGAAGAAGGUCUUAGGAUUGUAAAGCCCUUUCAGCGGGGAAGAUGAUGACGGUACCCGCAGAAGAAGCCCCGGCUAACUCCGUGCCAGCAGCCGCGGUAAGACGGAGGGGGCUAGCGUUGUUCGGAAUUACUGGGCGUAAAGGGCGUGUAGGCGGAUCGGUCAGUCAGGGGUGAAAGCCCUGGGCUCAACCCAGGAAUUGCCUUUGAUACUGCCGAUCUAGAGUCCGGGAGAGGAUAGUGGAAUUCCCAGUGUAGAGGUGAAAUUCGUAGAUAUUGGGAAGAACACCAGUGGCGAAGGCGGCUAUCUGGACCGGUACUGACGCUGAGGCGCGAAAGCGUGGGGAGCAAACAGGAUUAGAUACCCUCGUAGUC
rnacentral:rRNA from 1 species